GCAACCCCUAUUGUUAGUUGCCAUCAUUCAGUUGGGCACUCUAGCGAGACUGCCGGUAAUAAACCGGAGGAAGUGGGAUGAACGUCAAAUCAUCAUGCCCCUUAUGACCUGGGCUACACACGUGCUACAAUGGUUGGUACAACGAGUUGCGAGUCGGUGACGGCGAGCUAAUCUCUUAAAGCCAAUCUCAGUUCGGAUUGUAGGCUGCAACUCGCCUACAUGAAGUCGGAAUCGCUAGUAAUCGCGGAUCAGCACGCCGCGGUGAAUACGUUCCCGGGCCUU
rnacentral:rRNA from 1 species